rnacentral:rRNA from 1 species
GACAGAGGGUGCAAGCGUUGUUCGGAAUUACUGGGCGUAAAGGGCUCGUAGGCGGCCAACUAAGUCGGAUGUGAAAUCCCCAGGCUUAACCUGGGAACUGCAUCCGAUACUGGAUGGCUUGAAUCCGGGAGAGGGAUGCAGAAUUCCAGGUGUAGCGGUGAAAUGCGUAGAUAUCUGGAGGAAUACCGGUGGCGAAGGCGGCAUCCUGGACCGGCAUUGACGCUGAUGAGCGAAAGCUAGGGGAGCAAACGGG